rnacentral:rRNA from 1 species
GCGGAGGAGCAUGUGGUUAAUUCGAUGAUACGCGAGGAACCUUACCUGGGCUCGAACGUAAGAUGACUGUAGGUGAAAGCUUACAUCUCUUCGGAGCAUUUUACGAGGUGCUGCAUGGUUGUCGUCAGCUCGUGCCGUGAGGUGUCGGGUUAAGUCCCAUAACGAGCGCAACCCCUACCUUUAGUUGCCAUCAGGUAAUGCUGGGGACUCUAAAGGAACUGCCUACGCAAGUAGUGAGGAAGGCGGGGAUGACGUCAAAUCAGCACGGCCCUUACGUCCAGGGCUACACACGUGCUACAAUGGCCGGUACAAAGGGCAGCUACCUGGUGACAGGAUGCUAAUCUCAAAAGCCGGUCUCAGUUCGGAUCGGAGUCUGCAACCCGACUCCGCGAAGCUGGAAUCGCUAGUAAUCGCGCAUCAGCCAUGGCGCGGUGAAUACGUUCCCGGGCCUU